rnacentral:misc_RNA from 1 species
UCUCCGUUGGUGAACCAGCGGAGGGAUCAUUAUCGAGUUUACAACUCCCAAACCAUUGUGAAUUUUACCUUUUCGUUGCUUCGGCAGGAUUGCCCCGGGCGCUUCGGUGCCCCGGAUUCAGGCGCCUGCCGGGGGACCUAAACUCUUGUAUUAUAGUGAAUUUCUGAGUGGAUUACACAAAUAAUCAAAACUUUCAACAACGGAUCUCUUGGUUCUGGCAUCGAUGAAGAACACAGC